AUUGAACGCUGGCGGCAGGCCUAACCCAUGCAAGUCGAGCGAGCGGCGGACGGGUGAGUAAUGUAUGGGGACUGCCCGAUAGAGGGGGCUAACUACUGGAAACGGUGGCUACUACCGCAUACUAUCGGAUAACCCAUAUGGGAUUGGCUAGUCGGUGGUGUAAAGGCUCACCUGGGCGACGAUCUCUCGCUGGUCUGAGAGGAUGAUCAGCCACAUUGGGACUGAGACACGGCCCAGACUCCGACGGAGGCAGCAGGGGGGAAUAUUUCACAAUGGGCGCAAGCCUGAUGCAGCCAUGCCGCGUGGAUGAAGAAGGCCUUAGGGUUGUAAAGUACUUUCAGCGGGGAGGCGUUACCCGCAGAAGAAGCACCGGCUAACUCCGUGCCAGCCGCCGCGGUAAUUC
rnacentral:rRNA from 1 species